GACGAACGCUGGCGGCGUGCCUAAUACAUGCAAGUAGAACGCUGAAGGAGGAGCUUGCUUCUCUGGAUGAGUUGCGAACGGGUGAGUAACGCGUAGGUAACCUGCCUGGUAGCGGGGGAUAACUAUUGGAAACGAUAGCUAAUACCGCAUAAGAGUAGAUGUUGCAUGACAUUUGCUUAAAAGGUGCAAUUGCAUCACUACCAGAUGGACCUGCGUUGUAUUAGCUAGUUGGUGGGGUAACGGCUCACCAAGGCGACGAUACAUAGCCGACCUGAGAGGGGGAACGGCCACACUGGGACUGAGACACGGCCCAGACUCCUACGGGAGGCAGCAGUAGGGAAUCUUCGGAAAUGGACGGAAGUCUGACCGAGCAACGCCGCGUGAGUGAAGAAGGGUUUCGGAUCGUAAAGCUCUGUUGUAAGAGAAGAACGAGUGUGAGAGUGGAAAGUUCACACUGUGACGGUAUCUUACCAGAAAGGGACGGCUAACUACGUG
rnacentral:rRNA from 1 species